UCCGAGUUGACCCCGGCAGUCUCCUGAGAGUGCCCGGCAUUACCCGGUAGCAACACAGGACAAGGGUUGCGCUCGUUGCGGGACUUAACCCAACAUCUCACGAUACGAGCUGACGACAGCCAUGCACCACCUGUGUCCGCGCCCCUUGCGGGGACCACCCAUCUCUGGGCUUAGCACGGGAUGUCAAGGCCUGGUAAGGUUCUGCGCGUUGCGUCGAAUUAAACCACAUGCUCCACCGCUUAUGCGGGCCCCCGUCAAUUCCUUUGAGUUUCAGCCUUGCGGCCGUACUCCCCAGGCGGGGUACUUCCUGCGUUAGCGCCGGCACCCAAGGGGUCGCUCCCCCAGGCACCUAGUACCCAUCGUUUACGGCGUGGACUAC
rnacentral:misc_RNA from 1 species